AUCAUUACCUCCUAGCUUUGCCACACUGCUGACAAGCUGUUCAACAGAAAAUUUGAGAGGGAUAUGGACCGCAAAGACGAUCAGCCCAACAGUGCCAUCUAUGUUCAACAAGCUAAUGCAUGAAGUGGCUUGAUGAGAGGUUUACCAGUUCGGUCUUCUCCAUUUCAUUCGUUAGUGUGGCCAAUCUAGGAGUGGACCACAUGAAGGAUUUUUAUUUAUUUUUAUGUAUUCAAGACCAUUUUCAACGUAUUGUUGUAAAUAUUAUAUAUUUUAUUGUAAAGUCAUACAAUUUUUGUUUAAUAUUCAUUUUUAAUUGUACCCUAA